rnacentral:rRNA from 1 species
GAUGAACGCUGCCAGAAUGCUUAACACAUCAGCCAUCGAUUGGUGGCGGACGGGUGAGUAACGCGUAAAGAACUUGCAUCACAGGGAGGGACAACAUUUGGAAACGAAUGCUAAUACCUAAUACUGUGAGAGAGCUUUGCUUCCCAUUAUCUAGUUGGAGCGGUAACGGCUAACCAAGGCGAUGAGGGGUAGCCGGCCUGAGAGGGUGAUCGGCCACUAGGGGACGGAGAGACGGACCUUACGCGGACGGGAGGCAGCAGUGGUGUAUAUGUGACAAUGGACCAAAGUUUGAUCAAGCAAUGCUGGUUGUAAGAUGAAGUUUUCGGAAUGUAAAUGGCUUGCAGUGUGGACGCGGUACCAACAGAAGAAGGGACGGCUAAAUACGUGCCAGCAGCCGCGGUAAUAC